rnacentral:ncRNA from 1 species
AAUAAAUUUUUUAUGGUUUAAAAAUUUUAUUAUAAGUUUAUUUUACAUAUAAAUUUUAGUGUUAAUUAUUAUUUAUUUUGAUAAUAAAUAAUUUUUGUUGUAGUAAUUAAUUUUAAAAAUUUAAGAAAUUAAGAUUUAGUAAUAUUAAAAUUAAUAACUAAUUUUGUGCCAGCAGUUGCGGUUAUACAAAAAUUAAUUUAAAUUUUUUUAGUGGUUAAUUAAUAUUUAUUUUAAUAAUUUAAAUUUUAAAUUAUUAAGUGAAAUUUUAAUUUAAUAAAAAAUUAUUUAAAAAUUAUGAUUUAAUAAAUUUAAUAUGAAACUAGGAUUAGAUACCCUAUUAUUAAAAUUUAAAUUAUUUAAACUAAAAUAGUAUGUAAUUUUAUUGAAACUUAAAUAAUUUGGCGGUAUUUUAGUUUAUUUAGAGGAAUCUGUUUAAUAAUUGAUAAUCCACGAAUUAAUUUACUUAAUUUAGAAUUUUGUAUAUCGUUGUUAAAAAAAUAUUUUUUAAUAAUAAUAAUAUUUAAAAAUUUAUAAUAAAAAUUAAAUCAGAUCAAGAUGCAGAUUAUAAUUAAGAAUAUAAUGGAUUACAAUAAAUUUAUUUUAUUGGAUUUUAAUGUGGAAAUGAUUAAUUGAAAUUGGAUUUAAAUGUAAUUUUAUUUAAUUUAAUAAAAUGAUUUUAUAUUAAAAUAUGUACAUAUUGCCCGUCGCUUUCAUUUAUAAGUUGAAAUAAGUCGUAACAAAGUAGAGGUACUGGAAAGUGUUUCUAGAAAGAU